ensembl:lncRNA
UAUAAACUACAUACAAACUCAGUUUCCAUUAUUUAAGUGCUAAUGUGAACCUUCCUAUGCUUUAAUGUGGCAUCGUUGUACAAUCCGUGACUGUGAUGGGAAAGAAAACCAGACAGCAGAAGGUCAGACUGCCUGAGAAUAGAUCACUGAGGAAAAGGUAGCGCAGAUACUGUUUUUUAGUAAAAACGGGGAGUGUUAAUUCUAAGACAAACACAUUUAUACAAGCAUGUAGUCAACUACUGUUCAGUCCACAAAUAUACAGGAAUUUUGUGUAAAUUCUGACAAGGCCAUGCGCUGUUUUGGUUGAAACCAUGUGGGACUCAUUUGCAAUGGAACUUCUGGCUCCGAUUCCAAGGCCUGGUUUUGAUGUUCGGAUAGGAACGAUACACAUUUGAUCAACGGCAAGAUAUUCCAAGGUAAACGUGCUGCGUGUCACAAUGGCCCCCACACCCACCUUUCCCCAACAAACACACACACUUUAGCAGAAAUGUACAGUACAUGGAGUUUCCUUGUUCCAUAUAUUUGAAUAAUUCUUCUUCUACACCCACAAACUCCCCCACAAAUGUCCAUUUUGUAUUUAUUUUUGAGAAAGCUGAGCUCGCCUUUUCCUGGCAUUGUAUUCCAGUAACUGGACUCGUUUCUAAAAAGUGUCUAUAAAGUUACAGUGAGCGUUUCUCCGUUUGGCUUCAACGGGCAGAUCUGUGUCUGCUUUUCUCUCCUGCUUGGAUCAAAUUAGCUGAGGGGCCUGUUGAGGGAGAACUUAGGCAACACAAGGUUCGACUGCAAAACUCCUCUGUUGCGUCAGCUCCUCAUACAGUAAUGCCAAGUCUUUCAGAAAGAAAUAAGGAAAGGAUCAUAAAGACCUCGUGAUGGCUGUCUGAACUAACCUGUGACCUCUGAAACCGGCAGCCAAAAGAACAUCUCCGCUGAUUAGGGUUUUAGUCAGAAGUAAAGGCUGAAGGGGCUUCUUGGGGAAGGGUUUUUACCAUUAACUCGCUCGUCAACAUGUUUUUUUGCACUGUAUUUUCGACUUUCACACAGAACGAAAAAAAUACAACCUGCCAACUUUUUCCGAGCUUUUGCAUUGCGAUCAAAGACAUAAACCAAUCCCAUUGCGUGAGACAGGCGUAUUCCAAAUGUAGAAAAUAGUGCUCGACAAUGGAGACAACAGAGACUGCUAUUCAUUUUUGAACCUUUACAAAGGCAGCGCACACCAGAUCCACGCCAUCUGUCCUUGCCUUUCACAAUAAAAGCCCCACACAUAGGCUAUACUACACUAACUCUCUGCAGGAGGGAACUCGAUAAAAUAGCAUACAGCCGCUUCGGUUAUAGAACAAACGGACGCUGCUCUGAGUCAAUAGAGUUCCAAUAGUCAGUGCAACUGUUGUGUACUCGCAUCGCCGAAGAUAUGAAGGGUUUUGCUCCAAAAUGUUUGCGAGUUGUUCUUAGUCAGAGACAGUCGAUUCCCCUCCGCAGCCCCUCAUACUCAAAUGUAAUAACAUGUCACUGGCAUUGGUUGUUCACUUAAUGUGUUUUUUUACAGUUCUCAUAGUGAAAACAGCAGUGUCGAGCAAAGGUCCCUCGAGCAGCCAAAUUUAAUGGUUGCCCAAUCCAACUCCCAGAGAUUAAAACGCAUCCAAAACCAACAGCGGCGUGCCAAAAGCAAAUGAAAUUGCUGCUUAUUACACUGCUAGUAAAGUAAUCAUUCCCAUUUGGGUUCUUGUGAUCGGGUGUGUUUGUUUUUGAGUGUUUCUCAGUAACGCCCCCACCAUGUUACCAAUGCUGUGAUAAUGAUCAGCGGCUAUGGGAACACCGUUGGCUUUAAAUGAGUGGUAAAGAACAAGGAAAACAACGCCCCACACACAUAUAGCAACAUGCAGACAGCGUGGCACCAAAUUACCAAACGUUGCAUCACUAUGCUGUUCACGCUUUGAUCUGAGAACAGCUCCAAGCCUUUUGACACUCACUACGCUGUCCUGCAGCACUGCGUUAAGAAAGAAGAACUACACUUUGUAUUUUCUCAGAUUUCCACUGGCAGGUUUUAAAGUCAAAUGGACGCCUCCAGCUGGUCCAGGAUCCUCAUGGGCCACAACGACCUUAACUCCAGUAAGUGGUUUCAUGGCACACAAAGGGAAAGUUCAGCCGUGUUUGCCAGAGGCUCAAUCUCGGGGUUUUAUCUGGAACCGAUGGAUGAACAACAGCCUUAAACUUUAGGGCUUUGAGGAAUUGUCUCCAAGCGUAUAAAAGUACAUCAUGUUACAUCAAAGUCUGCUUAUAAAUCUUGGGGAAUGCAACACGUUUUAUAAAUCUUCAUUUGGCUCCAGAGAGAGAGAGAGAUCUUACAUUCUGUUGAGCUUUGAACUAUUCGCUCAACUGAACAAGACAGUCCCUUAACGUUACCUUGGAGGUUUGCUUCUUUUUAUUGACAAUGUCCAUCACUGAAAUAUUUUUGGGGUUUUCCACAUUUCAUAAUCUGCAAAGGCCACUGGCUGUUAGCUUGCUAGCUUCUGACAGUCAUUUGGAUUUUAGCAUCCAGCCAAGUGAUUUAGAAGCGGAUACGUUUUAAACACCUUCAGCGAGAGUCGCCCCAAAGAACACAAAACCGAGCCAGAAACAACUUCCAACAGGAACGUUGUGUUCUCAUCACAAGCAAAUAUAUCAAUACUUCACACCGUUGGAAAUAUUAAUGUUACGAUGCGUGGCGUGGCGUCGGACCCAAAUGCAGCGAGACCAGGAGGUCCAGCGGGAACUUAUUUAUUGUCAGGAACCAGAAAUGGAGGCAGAUGGGGGAAUGGCAGAGAAAUCCAGGUGGGGGAAUCCAGGCAGGGAAACGGCAGACAGACGGGAGAAUCGGGGGGAUGGAUGCCUGCAAGGACGCAGAAUACACGGUCAGAGGAACGUAGAAAAACAACAAACCAAUAUCUCUGAGACAUUCGUCGUCAGCACAGACAAGCGUAAUUACUGCCAGGUUAGUGGAGACAACGAUCUGGCAACGAGUAGAUGUUGAACCGGGGUAGAUGUGGACCCGGGGUAGAUUAGGAACCGGGGUAGAUUAGGAACCGGGGUAGAUGUGGAACCGGGGUAGAUUAGGAACCGGGGUAGAUGUAGAACCGGGGUAGAUAUGGAACCGAGGUAGAUUAGGAACCGGGGUAGAUUAGGAACCGGGGUAGAUAUGGAACCGGGGUAGAAUAGGAACCGGGGUAGUUGAGGAACCGAG